GUGCAGCAGUCGCGAAACUUCACACUGUGCGAAAGCACGAUGAGGGAAUCCCAAGUGCUUGCACGUAAGUGUAAGCUGUUUCUCUGUUUAAAACGCAGAGAGAGUAAGGGCUGGGUAAGACGGGUGCCAGCCGCCGCGGUAAUACCUGCAGCUCAAGUGGUGACCGUUAUUAUUGGGCCUAAAACGUCCGUAGCCGGUUUAAUAAAUGCCUGGGUAAAUCGUGUAGCUUGACUAUACGAAUUCCGGGUAGACUGUUAAACUCGAGACCGGGAGAAGUUAGAGGUACUCCUGGGGUAGAGGUGAAAUUCUGUAAUCCUAGGGGGACCACCAGUGGCGAAGGCGUCUAACUAGAACGGGUCUGACGGUGAGGGACGAAGCCCUGGGGCGCAAAC
rnacentral:rRNA from 1 species